AAGUCACAAGUACACAGUACAGUAGACCCGAGACAGAACUUUUUUUUACUUCUACAGUUCCGUCAUUGUACAGUACACAGACUCUCAGUCUGUCAGUUUCAUAUGGACUGUUAUCACAUUGACAAGGAGAUUGCUUGCCAAAAAUAACCGCGGGAAAUACCGCACACCUUGAAAAAUUUCGGAAUCGGUGUGUAACCCAGAAGCGGAAUCAAUUUAUUAACAUUGUUUUGUUAUCCAGCUGGUAGCUUGAUAUAAUUUAAAUAUUUAAUUUAAUUAAUUAUUUGAAUAUUUAAACAUGAAAUACAAUCGGUAAAUUCAGUUUAAAUGAGAAUUGAUGUGCUUCGUCUCUCAGAGAAUUGUCCCGUACGGUUCACAGAAACGAGCGUCUCAGACGACACAUUUGGACGACACCAAUUUUGACACCACAGUAGUGGCAAUGGAAAGUAAUGCAGAUACUCUUGAAGAUAUAACAGAUAAUAAGCAGGGCAUGAACGAAGUAUGGAGGAUCUGUUUGAAAAUUCCAGACAUGAGAAAGAAAAUGACAGGGAGAGAUGUCCAGUUCAACGUUACCAGGACAAUUCAGCAAAGUUCCAACAGAUAUAAAAAUCUGAAUUUGAGGCAAAUAUAUACUGUCAUGUAUAUAUAUAAGAUGGAUAAAGUACAUGAUACUUUAGCAGUGCUUCAGAGAAUCACAUUUGGCUACAGAAGUUUGUAGUAUUUUGGUUGUAAUCAAGUUAUUAAGCUGAAGCUUCAUAGUCAAACAGAUCUAGGCUACACCUUCACUAUUCAAGUCAGACUUUAAAAGGAAGCCCUUUUUGUUGAUAGGUGAACAUAUGAAGAAACUUUCAAAAGAGUGGAGCAUUUAGAAGACGGAACAAUCAAAUAUUAUUUGUUACUAUUUCAGUAACUUUUCAAAUGUUAACUGUUUAGAAUAUUCUUAAAUACAAAUAUAAUUGAAUUUAAUGUGUAAA